rnacentral:rRNA from 1 species
UACGUAGGUGGCAAGCGUUGUCCGGAAUUAUUGGGCGUAAAGCGCGCGCAGGCGGUCCCUUAAGUCUGAUGUGAAAGCCCCCGGCUCAACUGGGGAGGGUCACGCGAUACUGAUCGACUCGAAGGCAGGAGAGGGAAGUGGAAUUCCCGGUGUAGUGGUGAAAUGCGUAGAUAUCGGGAGGAACACCAGUGGCGAAGGCGACUUCCUGGCCUGUUCUUGACGCUGAGGCGCGAAAGCGUGGGGAGCGAACAGG